rnacentral:lncRNA from 1 species
GCCACUUCUGUUUCUCUUUUGAGUUGCUAUAAAGUACAGACGAUUCUACCAACCUUGACACAAACGCCCAGCUGCCCCCAGUUCAGUGCCACAGAGAAAAGCCUUGCAGAACAGGUUGAGUUUGUGGAUGGGCAUGGGGUAGAAGGUAUCAUCUCUUCUCUAUCAAUGACUUGGGUGAUACUUCUGGCAACAAAACAGACAGUUCUCGGCCUCUGUGUUUUCAUUGUCCAACUGAAGAUUAGACAAGAGGCAGCAUGGGGUGGUGGAUAAAUCGUGGACCAGGAUUGAAGCGAAGAUCUGCUCAUCUGGGACACUCACCAGGUAGAAGGAACUUACCUUGAUUCUCAGAUGAGACUUUGGACCUUAGACAUCGGACUUUGAUUUGAUGCUGAAACAAGAUUUGGCCUAGGAAGGGCAAAAUGUAAUGUUUGCCCAGUCAUUGAAAGCAGAAGUUGUUGCCUGAAAUAGACUGUUCAAACUAUCUCUGAAGUCUCUGUUUGAGAGCCGUGGAAAAUGGGAACAUUAAGUUAUUUAAUUUCAAAUCCAACUCAGAAAGCACAGAGAGCUGCUUAUGCUCAUUGCUCAAGUGACAGCCUUUUUGACAGACCCACAUAGGUGCCUCUCUAGUCAAAGACGGAAAAGACAGUCACUAUAAUACUUCAUCAAACACCUUCUAGACAUGAGGCAAAUUUUUUCUUCAUGAAAUCUCGGAGGAAGCAUUGGAAUAUCUCCCAGAACAACUUAUAAAAUAUCCAGUGAAAUUAUAAUAACUGGAGGCUGCAAAAACUAAUCACUUAUUUUGAUGAUUACAUAAUGUUUUUAUUUUUAAACGUAGAUUACAAAAGCCAAAACUUAAUUUUUUCUGCACACUUAUUUGAGCUAUUAAAACUUCUUAUAAAUGC